rnacentral:snoRNA from 1 species
CAACCUUUGCACACUCUGGCCCUUACCGUCCCUUCCCGCCUCCGGGCCUGGAUUGGACCUUUAUGUGGUAUAGGCUUAUUUUUCGCAAAGAAGAUAAAAUCUUCGACCCGCUACUCACCGCGGUAACCUCUGUGGCAAGCUUGCUUGUCCUUGUGGUUACAGUGGUCCAUGUUUUCGGUCAACAU